rnacentral:tRNA from 1 species
GGGGUUGUAGCUCAGUGGUAGAGCACUUGCCUAACACUGUAAGGCACUGGGUUCAAUCCCCAGCAUCA